UUGACCUCGAAUCAGGUAGGAAUACCCGCUGAACUUAAGCAUAUC
rnacentral:rRNA from 14 species